rnacentral:tRNA from 1 species
GGGGAGUUGCCGGAGAUGGUUUAUCGGGGCGGAUUGCUAAUCCGUUGAGCCGCAAGGUUCCAGAAGUUCGAAUCUUCUACUCCCCG